GUUACUCCGGUAACAUACGAUAAAAUUGGAACGAUACAGAGAAGAUUAGCAUGGCCCCUGCGCAA
rnacentral:snRNA from 1 species